rnacentral:rRNA from 1 species
ACAAGCCGGAGGAAGGUGGGGAUGACGUCAAGUCCUCAUGGCCCUUAUAGGUGGGGCUACACACGUCAUACAAUGGCUGGUACAAAGGGUUGCCAACCCGCGAGGGGGAGCUAAUCCCAUAAAGCCAGUCGUAGUCCGGAUCGUAGUCUGCAACUCGACUACGUGAAGUCGGAAUCGCUAGUAAUCGUGGAUCAGAAUGUCACGGUGAAUACGUUCCCGGGUCUU